CACCCGAGACUCAGUGAAAUUGAACUCGCUGUGAAGAUGCAGUGUACCCGCGGCAAGACGGAAAGACCCCGUGAACCUUUACUAUAGCUUGACACUGAACAUUGAGCCUUGAUGUGUAGGAUAGGUGGGAGGCUUUGAAGUGUGGACGCCAGUCUGCAUGGAGCCGGCCUUGAAAUACCACCCUUUAAUGUUUGAUGUUCUAACGUGGACCCGUGAUCCGGGUUGCGGACAGUGUCUGGUGGGUAGUUUGACUGGGGCGGUCUCCUCCUAAAGAGUAACGGAGGAGCACGAAGGUUGGCUAAUCCUGGUCGGACAUCAGGAGGUUAGUGCAAUGGCAUAAGCCAGCUUGACUGCGAGCGUGACGGCGCGAGCAGGUGCGAAAGCAGGUCAUAGUGAUCCGGUGGUUCUGAAUGGAAGGGCCAUCGCUCAACGGAUAAAAGGUACUCCGGGGAUAACAGGCUGAUACCGCCCAAGAGUUCAUAUCGACGGCGGUGUUUGGCACCUCGAUGUCGGCUCAUCACAUCCUGGGGCUGAAGUAGGUCCCAAGGGUAUGGCUGUUCGCCAUUUAAAGUGGUACGCGAGCUGGGUUUAGAACGUCGUGAGACAGUUCGGUCCCUAUCUGCCGUGGGCGCUGGAGAACUGAGGGGGGCUGCUCCUAGUACGAGAGGACCGGAGUGGACGCAUCACUGGUGUUCGGGUUGUCAUGCCAAUGGCACUGCCCGGUAGCUAAAUGCGGAAGAGAUAAGUGCUGAAAGCAUCUAAGCACGAAACUUGCCCCGAGAUGAGUUCUCCCUGAGACUUUAGGUCUCCUGAAGGAACGUUGAAGACGACGACGUUGAUAGGCCGGGUGUGUAAGCGCAGCGAUGCGUUGAGCUAACCGGUACUAAUGAACCGUGAGGCUUAACCUUACA
rnacentral:rRNA from 1 species